CCGUCUGAUAAUAUUAAUUCAAAGGACGAACAACUUACGAGGUUUGAUACAUCAGCUGAUUCACAGCAACUAGAGCCCAUGAACAGGCAACUUAAACCCACACCGGGGCAGCUUAAAGGAACAAAUACAACUCCACAACUAACUUAAGAAAAUUCGAUGGAACUCACAAUGAACCUAGCACACCAAGCUUGCAUCAACCCAACAACUUCAGGUGCUUCUGAACGGGAUUUAUCGUUGUCGCCCACGGCCCACCGAACGAUAACCUCAACCUCUGACGACACCAAACUGAGAGCACUCCUCUCCACACCAACGAACCCAGACUUUAUAACCCGACAAGCUCGAACCACUCUAGGGUCUCCUCCUCUUCCGGAUACGGCAGCAGCGACGCACUUCAUGCGACCAAACUAAACCUCGAUAAAAAGCCUUACACUGAACUCUCCAUUCACAUAAGAACUGGAGAAACGGAGGUCAAUCCGCCAAAACUUCACCGACAACUCAAAGAUGCCGGCAGCAAGACAGGAAACCGUUCCCAAUAGCACCAUAACUCAAAAACAUU
rnacentral:lncRNA from 1 species